AUGUCACCAGGCAGGCACCCAGGACUGAAUCUUUGGGAUUUGAAAAUUCUUGGGAGUCCCCCUCCUGGGGGCUUCCGGCCACAUCUUCAUGUCUUUUCCAUGGGUCUCAGUUACCACUGCCGUGCACCCGUGCAUGCCACAGCUGUUCCCGAGCUCCUUCCCCAGCGACCUUCACUCCCAGGCACAUCUAGGAGCAGCAUGUGGGCCUGUGCCGUCCUGGUGCAGACGCUGCCCGGGAACUCCCAUUUGGACGGUUCACUCUUCCUAGUCUCAUUUAUUUGACACGCAACUGAUCUCCAUGCUGAAUCGGGGAGCUGGUUGCUUUACUGAGGG